ensembl:misc_RNA 7SK 7SK RNA
CCUGCCACCCCAUCUAUCUAAGUGGUGAUUCGGCUGAUCUGGCUGGCUAGGCAGG